rnacentral:rRNA from 1 species
GGAGUUAGCCGGUGCUUCUUCUGUGAGUGAUGUCCUUCCUGCCGGCUAUUAACCCGCAGGCCUUCUUCCUCACUGAAAGUGCUUUACAACCCGAAGGCCUUCUUCACACACGCGGCAUGGCUGGAUCAGGGUUGCCCCCAUUGUCCAAUAUUCCCCACUGCUGCCUCCCGUAGGAGUCUGGGCCGUGUCUCAGUCCCAGUGUGGCUGAUCAUCCUCUCAGACCAGCUACGGAUCGUCGCCUUGGUGAGCCGUUACCUCACCAACCAGCUAAUCCGACAUAGGCUCAUCCGAUAGCGCGAGGCCCGAAGGUCCCCCGCUUUCCCCCGUAGGGCGUAUGCGGUAUUAGCCUGGGUUUCCCCAGGUUAUCCCCCACUACCGGGCAGAUUCCUAUGCAUUACUCACCCGUCCGCCGCUCGCCACCAGGGAGCAAGCUCCCCGUGCUGCCGCUCGACUUGCAUGUGUUAGGCCUGCCGCCAGCGUUCAAUCUGAGCCAAAAUCGAACCCUGA